rnacentral:rRNA from 1 species
GGUAAUACGGAGGGUGCAAGCGUUGUCCGGAUUUAUUGGGUUUAAAGGGUGCGUAGGUGGCCUUAUAAGUCAGUGGUGAAAUUCUGCAGCUUAACUGUAGGACUGCCAUUGAUACUGUAGGGCUUGAGUGUCGUUAAGGCAGGCGGAAUUUAUGGUGUAGCGGUGAAAUGCAUAGAUACCAUAAAGAACACCAAUAGCGAAGGCAGCUUGCUUAUCGGCAACUGACACUGAUGCACGAAAGCGUGGGUAGCGAACAGGACUAGAUACCCUGUUAGUCCACGCCGU